UGGGUGAGUAACGCGUGGGUAACCUGCCCUUAAGUCUGGGAUACCAUUUGGAAACAGAUGCUAAUACCGGAUAAAAGCUACUUUCGCAUGAAAGAAGUUUAAAAGGCGGCGUAAGCUGUCGCUAAAGGAUGGACCUGCGAUGCAUUAGCUAGUUGGUAAGGUAACGGCUUACCAAGGCGAUGAUGCAUAGCCGAGUUGAGAGACUUAUCGGCCACAUUGGGACUGAGACACGGCCCAAACUCCUACGGGAGGCAGCAGUC
rnacentral:rRNA from 1 species